rnacentral:rRNA from 1 species
AGUGAACGCUGGCGGUAGGCCUAACACAUGCAAGUCGAACGGCAGCACAGUAAGAGCUUGCUCUUACGGGUGGCGAGUGGCGGACGGGUGAGGAAUACAUCGGAAUCUACUUUUUCGUGGGGGAUAACGUAGGGACACUUACGCUAAUACCGCAUACGACCUACGGGUGAAAGCAGGGGAUCUUCGGACCUUGCGCGAUUGAAUGAGCCGAUGUCGGAUUAGCUAGUUGGCGGGGUAAAGGCCCACCAAGGCGACGAUCCGUAGCUGGUCUGAGAGGAUGAUCAGCCACACUGGAACUGAGACACGGUCCAGACUCCUACGGGAGGCAGCAGUGGGGAAUAUUGGACAAUGGGCGCAAGCCUGAUCCAGCCAGACCGCGUGGGUGAAGAAGGCCUUCGGGUUGUAAAGCCCUUUUGUUGGGAAAGAAAAGCAGCAGGUUAAUACCCCGCUGUUCUGACGGUACCCAAAGAAUAAGCACCGGCUAACUUCGUG